rnacentral:lncRNA from 1 species
AGAAAUGCAUAGCUGCAUAUCAUGCAAAUAUUUGACAGUUUGACACCAACAAAGACCAUCUGCAUGUUCAGAGUUUAGAUAAGCAGAAAAACAAAUGUAUCACAUAGCAAGCUAGCAUUGCAUGACAAUACUAACUAACCAGAUAUGCGUAAACAGGUGAAAUGUAUCAGACAGAAGGCUAUCAUAGCAAGACUGUACUAGUAAACAGGGGGAGAACACAUACCAUGCUUCUGGAUUCAGAUCAUCAACAUUCGUGUACCACAAAGGGCCUUGUGUCUGGGGGAGCCAGCAUGGUGCAGAAGCCGCCGCUGCCUUUGGUGGCCGUGGAGGAAUCGAGGCACCUGGUCCGGGCUGGCGUGGUGGCGGGACGAGGUGUGGCGCCGACGGCGGCGGGACGAGGUGUGGCGCCGACGGCGGGACGAGAUGCGGCAUCAACGGCGGAAGGAAUUGAGGCAGCGACGGCGGGACGACCUGAGGUGUCGGCGCACGCGUCCUUUUGGACUGCUGACCCAUCUCCUUGAUGCGGCGCCGGCGGAUGUUCUAGGGUUUGGGGUGGUGGCGAUUUGGGGGAAGCUGGAGGCUUUAAAGCUUAGAUUUGGCGCGCACCAAGCGAUUUGGAGCGAGGGAAAGAUGGAUUUCGCGCGCGGAGGUGGAAGGAGAAGCGCACGAGGCAAGGGAGACGCACGGGAUCGGAAGCGGCGGCACUAGCGCUCGCAUCGGGCUGCAAGC